UGACAGUUUCUCGCGAAUCAUGGCGGAUGUUAUGAAUACGGUGAUCAAAUAUGAUGGUGAAAACGCGUGGUUUAGUGUCGAUUUCCGUGAGAAAAAAGUGUUUUUAGACCUGGAAAAAGCAGCUCGAGAAUAACUCCGGGAAGCUGGAGAUGUUUGAUGAAACUGACGCCGUCAACUAUCUCAGCAUUUGGCAAGAAAUAUAUUUAUUUCAAAGCUGCUCCCUUUGCUAGAUUAACCAAGGCCAUCCCUUGCUCCACAAAGUGGCAGUAAAUUGGAAGUCCACUGUGGAGGUGGCUCCACCAGCUCUUAUGAAAUCGUCAGAUCUUUUCUACAAGUUCAUCGUAAAGAAUGGUCCCCAGAAAUAUAUGAGUUGUUGAAUAACGCUUCUACGUUCAACUGGAAGUCGCCGUGAAACUAAGCGACCAUCUUUGAAGCAAGUAUUCAAAGAUUUCAUAGUAUUUCAGUCGGGAAAUUAAUAAAUAACUUCAAAAUUGUCUCCAACCAUACUUAUUUAAGGUGGAACACGAUUAGAUAUAAGACGCUUUUAUGUGCCAGUUGAUGAAUCACUAAUUGUGAUGAAUUGUAAGUACAAUUGCUGAAAAAAUCUAAAUAUAUAUA